GACGUAGGGCGCGAGCGUUGUCCGGAUUUAUUGGGCGUAAAGAGCUCGUAGGCGGCUUGUUGCGUCGACCGUGAAAACCCGUGGCUUAACUGCGGGCUUGCGGUCGAUACGGGCGGGCUGGAGUUCGGUAGGGGAGACUGGAAUUCCUGGUGUAGCGGUGAAAUGCGCAGAUAUCAGGAGGAACACCAAUGGCGAAGGCAGCACUCUGGGACGUGACUGACGCUGAG
rnacentral:rRNA from 1 species